AGUGAACGCUGGCGGUAGGCCUAACACAUGCAAGUCGAACGGCAGCACAGUAAGAGCUUGCUCUUACGGGUGGCGAGUGGCGGACGGGUGAGGAAUACAUCGUAAUCUACUUUUUCGUGGGGGAUAACGUAGGGAAACUUACGCUAAUACCGCAUACGCCCUACGGGUGAAAGCAGUGGAUCUUCUGACCUUGCGCGAUUGAAUGAGCCGAUGUCGGAUUAGCUAGUUGGCGGGGUAAAGGCCCACCAAGGCGACGAUCCGUAGCUGGUCUGAGAGGAUGAUCAGCCACACUGGAACUGAGACACGGUCCAGACUCCUACGGGAGGCAGCAGUGGGGAAUAUUGGACAAUGGGCGCAAGACUGAUCCAGCCAGACCGCGUGGGUGAAGAAGGCCUUCGGGUUGUAAAGCCCUUUUGUUGGGAAAGAAAAGCAGCAGGUUAAUACCCCGCUGUUCUGACGGUAAACAAAGAAUAAGCACCGGCUAACUUCGUG
rnacentral:rRNA from 1 species